AACGUACGCUGGCGGCACGCCUAACACGUGCAAGUCGAACGAAGUAGCAAUACUUAGUGGCAGACGGGUGAGUAACAUGUAGGUAUCUACCCUUUGGCCUGGAAUAACACGAGGAAACUUGUGCUAAUACCGGAUAAGUCUUUACGGAGAAAGCUUUAUGCACCAUUGGAUGAGCCUGCACUUGAUUAGUUUGUUGGUGGGGUAAUGGCCUACCAAGACUGUGAUCAAUAGCUGAUUUGAGAGGAUGAUCAGCCACAUUGGGACUGAGACACGGCCCAAACUCCUACGGGAGGCAGCAGUGGGGAAUCUUGCACAAUGGAGGAAACUCUGAUGCAGCGAUGCCGCGUGAGUGAAGAAGGCCUUUGGGUUGUAAAGCUCUUUCGUCGGGGAAGAAAAUGACUGUACCCGAAUAAGAAGGUCCGGCUAACUUCGUGCCAGCAGCCGCGGUAAUACGAAGGGACCUAGCGUAGUUCGGAAUUACUGGGCUUAAAGAGUUCGUAGGUGGUUGAAAAAGUUAGUGGUGAAAUCCCAGAGCUUAACUCUGGAACUGCCAUUAAAACUUUUCAGCUAGAGUAUGAUAGAGGAAAGCAGAAUUUCUAGUGUAGAGGUGAAAUUCGUAGAUAUUAGAAAGAAUACCAAUUGCGAAGGCAGCUUUCUGGAUCAUUACUGACACUGAGGAACGAAAGCAUGGGUAGCGAAGAGGAUUAGAUACCCUCGUAGUCCAUGCCGUAAACGAUGUGUGUUAGACGUUGGAAAUUUAUUUUCAGUGUCGCAGCGAAAGCGAUAAACACACCGCCUGGGGAGUACGACCGCAAGGUUAAAACUCAAAUGAAUUGACGGGGACCCGCACAAGUAGUGGAGCAUGUGGUUUAAUUCGAAGAUACGCGCAGAACCUUACCAACACUUGACAUGUUCGUCGCGACUCUAAGGGAUUAGAGUUUUCGGUUCGGCCGGACGAAACACAGGUGCUGCAUGGCUGUCGUCAGCUCGUGUCGUGAGAUGUUGGGUUAAGUCCCACAACGAGCGCAACCCUCACUUUUAGUUGCCAUCAUUAAGUUGGGCACUCUGAAAGAACUGCCAGUGAUAAGCUGGAGGAAGGUGGGGAUGACGUCAAGUCCUCAUGGCCCUUACGUGUUGGGCUACACACGUGCUACAAUGGUAUCUACAACAGGAAGCAAGACUGCGAGGUCAAGCAAAUCCUUAAAAGAUACCUCAGUUCGGAUUGCACUCUGCAACUCGAGUGCAUGAAGCUGGAAUUACUAGUAAUCGUGGAUCAGCGUGCCACGGUGAAUGCGUUCCCGGGUCUUGUACACACCGCCCGUCACACCAUGGGAGUUGGUUCUACCUUAAGGCAAGGUUUAAAACCCUUGACCACGGUAUAGUCAGCGACUGGGGUG
rnacentral:rRNA from 1 species